rnacentral:lncRNA from 1 species
GGAAAAAGUAUAAGCAUCAUCAUCUUUAUAAAAGAACUCUGCCACCCUCGUAAGGUUGAGCACUGGCAUGAGUAAAACUCUUGGUACUGUUGUAGGCUUUAGGCAUCCUCUAUUCAAAACCUUCCAAUUAUUCUCUAUUAUUUUCCUUGUCUCCAUGUAAGCUUCUUCUUUUGUGGCACCAUACUCGUUCAUGUAACAUUCAAUACCCGAUGCUACAUCUCCUCUUUCCACUUCUAUCUGUAUCCAUAAUAUAAUCAGACAAACAAGUUUAAAGACUAGCAAAAAUAGUACCUCAUAUUCAAUUUGUAUAUGUAGCACUUCCUAUUUAUGCUUGAGUUAUUAUUUACACGUACAAUAUAAUACCUCAUGUGUUGCGAGAUCAUUGAGUAAUCUUGCAAUGAUAGACGAAGCUACAAGAAUUGUAGGUUCAUUCGAUAUCCAAUCAAACGCAUCCUUAGUUGCUACAUCUCCCAUGCCUAACCAAGAAGUAGUAGCAAGCAAUAGGUAAGUGCUGGAUGGAAUUCCAUUCUUUAUAUAUUGUUCCAUUGUUGGCACAACUUUCUCAUGAUACCAUUUGGCCUCUUGGAAGUAAGCCCUCAACAACUUUUUCAUCUGAAAAAAGUAACAAGCUUUUUUAAUUUUGACUAUAUUUUCAUUAUUCAGUAAUAAUUCUUUGAUUACCUCAUUGAUGGAAUAUUUGACUCUAAAUGUCAUCUUAUUUCCAAGAUUUUCCAAUUCUCUCUCUGCUUCAGUGUAAACUUGUACAAGAGCACGGUAGGAGAGCUUCAUAUAGGGCGGUAAUUGUUCCGAAGCAUCAAUGUCCCAACUACGAUACAUAUAUCACAUUCUCAAAAUUUCUUAUAUUUUACGGUGAUAAUUCAUUUUUAGUGUUAGAAACAUAAAAAUCUUGUAAGCUAUUGAUUGAUGUGAGAAAAGAACUUAAACCUUUCAAUGGCCGUUGUGAGGAGAGUAAGUUCAUCCAGUGUGCCAUAGGUAUCGUAAGUAUCAUCCAUAAUAGAACAGAAACAUAACACUUUGGUUAGUAUUUUCCUUGCAACACUAUAGUGAGGCUCAAAAUAGACACCUAAACUCCAAAAAUAUAAUUCAACCACUCUAUCUCUAGCAAAAGGUAGUGCCUGCGCGAUUUCUGAGUCUUUCCACCACCUAAAAUUUGUAAAGACAAAAUUAUACUUUUCAGGAAUUAUAUAAGUUAAUCGAUUUGUAAAUGUUUAGCUUGUUAAUUACCUUGUGAUAUCACAUAGCUCCCUUUUGUGCAGCCUUUGUAGGAUAUUAAAGUCCAAUUUAGCAAAAUGUAGUAACAUUUCAUUGUGUGAUUUAUCUUCUUGGUAAAAUGAAAUGUAUUUUCUAGUUGCUACCCUCACUAUAAUAUUGUUGAUUGGAAAUUUCAGCGCGUUACUAACUUGAGUCGCAAGGGGAUCACUCAAAUUAGGCAAAAGUAGCUUCAAGUGAGUAGUGGUGAAAUUAAUUGCUUCAUCCAGAAUUUCUUCAUCAUCUACUCUGAGUUGCGCUGCCUCAUACAAGCUCAAUAAUCCUUGUACGUCGCUGGCCAAAGUUUCCUUGUAAUUUCCUCUCUCAUCAGUGAACUUCCUAAAAACAUCUGCUCCAAAACAUAUAAGUUGCAUGAUUAUAUGAAAAUGUAUUUUCACCAACAAUUUAAACUCAUCGCAUAAUGUCUAGUUGAUGUGUGUGGGGAAGAGAGGAGGGUGGGGUACGUACACGAUGAGACAUAAUAACCUUGUUGCCUAAGUAAUCGAAAGUUUAGAGCAACAGCAUGAAGGUCAUGACUUUCACCAAUCCAUUCUUCAUAACCAUUAUAGAUUUCACUCAAUGAUUCCUCAAUCUCAUGUUCAAAAUGGUAUGACACUCCAAGCAAUUGGAUUGUGUUUAUAAGUUCAAGUUUUUGCAAAGAUUUGGAAGGAGAAAUCACUAGCAUUUUCCUCGCUUCUUUUUUUAGGUCUUCAUGUUUCUUCUUUUCACAUUCAUUGGCUCCCUACGUGCAAGAGUAAAUUUCGAAAUUUAUGGUAUGUAUAUACGUAUAAUAAUACAUAAAGAAUAUAUAUAACAUAAAGUAAUUAAUUAAAUCCAAAUUUACCAAGAGAUUAGCAUAAGCAAGAAAAUGGUCUCCCCAAACAGAAGGAUGAUGAUUGGCACACCGACGUAUAAUCUCUGCCUCAUCACCAAAUCCAUCCAUUUUUCUUGUUCAUUUAGGUGAAAGAAAAGAACCAACAUUUUGAUUAAAUAGAUGUUAGUUGGAUAUUCAACGAGCUCAACUGACCAACUUAUAAUGGUCAAAAUUCAACUCUGAAAAGAUUCGUUAAGAAAAUACUUUUCAUAAAAAUAAAUAAUUUUAUUUAUUUAUCAUCCUGCAUGCGCUUUGUACGUAAUAAAAUAAAAAAAAUUUAUCUUAAAUUGUGAGUAACUUGCCUUUUUUUGUUCUUGACUCUUCACAAAAUUCGAAUUAAUGGCUUAGGCUUUUGUAAUUUGCCUAAAAACCAAUAAAGUGAAUUAAGUAUACCACUAGAUUAAUUAAUAUUCAUCAUAUAAUAAAGUGUAUUUAUAUGUAGUAGUACUAAUUAAGUAACAGCCAACGAGACGCAUUUGACAAUAUAGAGACGUGUAUGAACCAAUGACAUGACCAAUUCAGGUCCAUUUUUGUGAUCUCACUUUGAAUUCUCAAUUGGUUUUGUCCUAACACUGGGUUGACUAUACGUGCCAAAUUAUAAUAGCGGAUUCGAGAAUGUAAUUAAAGGGUGUCAAUGGUUAAAGUAAAACGUAUAAUUAUGAGAAUAGAGGGCUAUAUCAUAUAUAUACGACCUCAAGGAAUUUUCAUAACUUAAUCACUAUAUUUAUUAAAAUUUAACCUUUAUAUACAAGAUAAUUAUCCGAUGAAAAGUGUCGCUUGCAGUGGUGUAGCUACACACUAUGUCUAGGGUGUCCAAAUAUAUUCUCUUUGUCAAAAAAUUACAUUGUAUAUAUAUACAUAUAAAUAUAAUUAAAUAAGAUAUUUUAACACCCUCGAAACAACAAACGCGUUUGUUGUUAGCCCAUUGCACUUUGGUGCUCAGCCAAAGUUGAGGUGAACGUCAUGCACGUGAGUUCAACUUCCUAUAUUUUAUUUUUAUGUUUUUAAAAAGCUAUUAAUUAAUAAAUCUGCUAUUUUUUUUUCUAUAAUUCAAAACUAAUAGUAUCUAUUAAAAUAAUAUUAAAUUAAAUAUCUGCAACUUAAAAUUUUAAAGAGAAAAAAAUUUAGUAGCCAAAAUUUUUAAUCAAUUUGACUUUUGAAUUUUUUUCUAUUCAUUAAAUUUUUUAAAAAAAAUUAAAAUUAAUUAUUUAAUUUAAAGUUAUUAAGAAAAUAAUAUUUCUUUUUUUCUAUAAAACUAUUAAAAGUGAAAAAGACUUCAUAUGAAUUUUCUUUAAAAGAAUUCUAUUCUUUAUUUUUUAUUUCUCAGUGAAAUAUUUAAUUUAAGUAUAAAUGUGAUAUCAUUCUAAAUUGAUUCUUUUAAAAUUUUAUUUUAAUUUUUUUUCAUUCACUUCCUAUUAAAUUAAAUGAAUAUGAACAUUCAAGCUAAAUAUUAUGUAGUUUGCUUUUUAAAAUUUUAAUAUAUUUUUUAAUUAGAAAUAACAUUUAUUUUUGUUACGUAAUUUGAUUAACAAAAUUUUGGAGCACUGAUUCGUUAAUUUUUUUUUUAUCUAUACAAUUCUUAUGAAACUUCUGACUCCAUUAUUAAACUCGCUUGACACCCAUUACCCAAGGGUCGGUCCGCCCUUGAGCCAGAGCAAAGCGACUCAAUUAAAUUGGGGUGUAAAACCAAACUUCAAAAGAGAUUCUCCUUCUAAAUUAUGAUCGAAAUUUCAGAAACACAUCUUAACUAAACUAAGGUCUUAUUACCCCCUCAACUUAUUUUUUUUGUAAUUUUGUGCACCUUUUGUUUUACGUAGCACAUUCUGUGACUUCACGCAAUUAAGACACGCGAGAGAUAUUUGAAUGUCACGUAAGUCAAAAAGGUGCACAAAAUUAUUUAAAAAAUUAAGUUAGGAGGUAAUAAAACCUUAAUUUAGUUAAAAUAUGUCUCUAAAAUUUUGAUCAUAGUCAAGGGGUACUUUCUUUUAAGACAUCAUGCUAUAUAUUUUUUUAAAGCCAAUUUUUCUAGUUUUUUUUAAAUGUCAAGCCAUUAAUUAUCAGAGAAAAUUGGACGGAAUAUAGUCUAAUUUUUUAAAUCCAAAAUAACAUAAUUACUUAUUACGUAAAAUGACAAUUUAGCCAAUGCCAUUAAAGACGGCUUUCUAUCUUCUAGAUGUCUUCCUCGUCACCACCAAAUCCAUCCAUUGUUCUUCUUCUUUUAGUUAGGUGAAAAAAAAGAAUCAAAAAUUGAUCAAACAACUUAAUUUUGUUAUGGGUAUAUUGCGAGUUCAGAAUCUAAAUAAGUCAUAAAAAACAAAAAUAAUUAAAAUAAGUCAUUAUUUUAGAAAAUAACUAAAAUAUAAUUAGUAGAAGAAAAAAUUUCCCUUUAAUCAAUAUUCUAAAUAUUUUUCGUUAGUCUCAUAAUGUGUAUAUUUAAUAUAUAAUGAAACUAUUUAUACACUUUAUAAAGUACAAGUUUUUCUUAAACUUUGUAAAGUGAAACUUUUUUUCUUCACUUUAUAAAGUGGAAGAAAAUCUUACACUUCAUAAAAUGAAGGGAAAAAAUUAUAUUUUACAAAUAGAAAUAUUUUCACAUUUUGAAGCUUUACAAAGCUUUUGCAGUGUUUGUCAUACAAUUACAUUGUUUUGACAUAUCAUAAAAAUAAAAAAACUAUUACAUUCUGAAAACUCCUCCAAUUUCGAUUUAACGACAUUUAAACAUAGUACCUUCAACAUUUUUAGUCUUCUAAUUUUCUUCAUUUCAAUCACAAAAAAAUAUAUUCUACUCCAAAAUUAAAGUUUUAACUUAUUAGGAUAACGAAAUUAUACAUGACUGAAAUAUCGUUUAUUAUAAUCGUCAUAAAUGACUUCUUUUUCCUUCUUUCUUCCCAUAUAUCAAAGGCAUUGCAUUUAUAAAUUGACAAUUUGAAUCGAUAAUUUGGUUAUUGGAUAAAUAGUUCAGGUUAAUGGUUUAACGGUUCGAGUCUCGAUUUAUUAUAAACUUUUUAUCGACUUAACACAAAUAUAUGGGUUCAAUAAUAAACAUAACCGCAUAAUGAAAAUCAAGUCAUGAACAAUACAUUAGCUAAUGUCCAUAUGCUUUGACAUUCUCGAAUUACAAUAACUUUUCAUUUGAUAACAUUGAUACUCGUAGUUAUCUCUUUCACACUAUUGAUACGUGAUUCCUCAUCUUUUGUCCUUACCCAUUGUAUAUCUCAUUUUUAAUUUUUAAUUAGAAAAAAAAUGUCCAUACCUCCAAUAUUGAACACGUGUCAUCAAUCUUCAAAAUUCCAUCCUUUCGUAAAGCUUUUGUACGUUCCCAAUUUAUUAGAUAUGCAUUAUUCAUAAGUAAAUGAGUCCAUAAACACCAUAUUGCUAUACUUCUAGCUCGGACCCCAAAAUCACCCAAAAAUCAUAGAAUCUAAAUUUAUAAUCAAGUUUCAAUCUUGAUUUGUUUAAUAGGUCGAAUCUUAUAUAUUUUAAUUUUUUAAAUCUAAAAUUAAAUCUCAAUUUCUUCAAUAUCAUGAAUAUAAUGAUAUUCAUAUAAGAUAACAUACCUAAUUUUAUUAUGUAUACCAAUAUAUCACAGUUUAAAUUAUAAUAUGAUACCAUACAACAAACUAUAACUCCAAAAGAACAACCUUAUACAAAACUAAACUAUAUCAAUAAUUGCAGUUAUGAAAAAUUAUAUACAAAACUAAAACAAUAUUGCAACAAUUCAAUCCUACCUAUCAUCAUUUCCUAAUUAUUAUCAUAAUUAUCCUAUAAUUAUUGUAAUAAUUGACCAUUAAAAAAUUUCACAAUAAUAGUAGAGAACCCAUGUUAACCCCACACCAAUUGUGUCAAUAAUUUCCCAACCUCGUACAUGUUCGCCAUCGUUUGACGCCACACUAGAUAUUGUAAUCUAUGAUUUCAUCAUCUUCUUCUUCUUUGAAAAAUAAUUAUAAAUUAAAGGGAUAAUGCACAAGUACCCCUAAACCUAUAUCCGAUCAAUCAAUAUUGGACCCAUAAGAUAGUGUCACGUAGAUCAAAAAGGGAUGGAAAAUUAUUAAUAAAAUAAAUUCAGCGGGUAAUAAGACCUUAAUAUAGUAUAAGUGUGUCUCUGAGAUUUCAGACAUAGAUUGAGGGGUACUUGUGCAUUAUUCCUGAAUUAAAAGUGCUUAAUUUCACUAUUUUAUUUACUAUUCAAGUGAAAUAACACAUUAAAUAUAAAAUUAAAUUGAUUAUUUAAAAGAAUGUGAAUCUCAUAUGCAUGUGAAUCAUAACAGACAGAUACAUACAAAUACAUGUAUCUAGUGUAAUUCACAUUUAUCUGGAAAGCAAAUAUAUAUAUAUAUAUCUUUCUUAAUAUCUGGUAGAAAACUCUUGAUUAGUGAUAAAAUAUAAUGUUAUGUAUAUAUUUUCAAAAAAGAAAUGGCCGUUGAACAUUGGUCAUACCCUUCUUUUUCUUCCUUUAGAUUUUGUCAUUAAUGACUUGUUUUUCUUUCUUUCUUCCCAUAUAUCAAAGGCAUUGCAUUUAUCAAUUGACAAUCAUAACACCAAAUAUAUUAAUACAACAGCUGACACAAAGAUAAAACAACAUCAAGAUACAAAAUAGUAAAAACAAGCCACAACCUCCAUAAAGAAGCAACAUCAGAUGUUGUUCAUGCACUACUACUUUUAUUUAUUAUUUUCCCUUCAUAGUGAAAUUCUCUCAUGCUUUUAUAGGAUCAAUUAGCACCAUAGAGAUGACGUCUUUCAAGUUAUUUUUCGAAAAAGUAUAAGCAUCUUCGUCUUUAUAAAAAAACUCUGCCACCCUCGUAAGGUUGAGCACUGGCAUGAGUAAAACUCUUGGUACUGUUGUAGGCUUUAGGCAUCCUCUAUUCAAAUCCUUCCAAUUAUUCUCUAUUAUUUUCCUUAUCUCCAUGUAAGCUUCUUCUUUUGUGGCACCAUACUCGUUCAUGUAACAUUCAAUACC